rnacentral:rRNA from 1 species
ACACUCCUGCGGGAGGCAGCAGUGGGGAAUAUUGGACAAUGGGUGCAAGCCUGAUCCAGCCAUGCCGCGUGAGUGAUGAAGGCCCUAGGGUUGUAAAGCUCUUUCACCGGAGAAGAUAAUGACGGUAUCCGGAGAAGAAGCCCCGGCUAACUUCGUGCCAGCAGCCGCGGUAAUACGAAGGGGGCUAGCGUUGUUCGGAAUUACUGGGCGUAAAGCGCACGUAGGCGGAUCGAUCAGUCAGGGGUGAAAUCCCAGGGCUCAACCCUGGAACUGCCUUUGAUACUGUCGAUCUGGAGUAUGGAAGAGGUGAGUGGAAUUCCGAGUGUAGAGGUGAAAUUCGUAGAUAUUCGGAGGAACACCAGUGGCGAAGGCGGCUCACUGGUCCAUUACUGACGCUGAGGUGCGAAAGCGUGGGGAGCAAACAGGAUUAGAAACCCCUGUAGUCCCA